rnacentral:rRNA from 1 species
GGCGAACGCUGGCGGCGCGCUUAACACAUGCAAGUCGAGCGAGAACCCAGGCUUCGGCCUGGGGGAAAGCGGCGAACGGGUGAGUAACACGUGGGUAAUCUGCCCUCGGCAUCGGGAUAGCCCGGGGAAACCCGGAUUAAUACCGGAUGGCCCAUCCGCUCUUCGGAGCGGCUGGAAAAGGUAGCUUCGGCCUCCGGCCGAGGAGGAGCCCGCGGCGGAUUAGCUUGUUGGUGGGGUAACGGCUCACCAAGGCGACGAUCCGUAGCUGGUCUGAGAGGACGAUCAGUCACACUGGGACUGAGACACGGCCCAGACGUCUACGGGAGGCAGCAGUGGGGAAUCUUGCGCAAUGGGCGAAAGCCUGACGCAGCGAUGCCGCGUGCGGGAAGAAGGCCUUCGGGUUGUAAACCGCUUUCAGGAGGGACGAAGCCACUCGGGUUAAUAGCCCAGAGGGUGACGGUACCUCCAGAAGAAGCCCCGGCUAACUACGUGCCAGCCGCCGCCGUAAGAC